rnacentral:rRNA from 1 species
AGAGAUGCAUUGGGCAUAAAGUGUGCGUAGGUGGGUCAGUAAGUCAGUGGUGAAAUCUCUGGGCUCAACCCGGAAACUGCCAUUGAUACUAUCAGUCUUGAAUACCGUGGAGGUCAGCGGAAUAUGUCAUGUAGCGGUGAAAUGCUUAGAUAUGACAUAGAACACCAAUUGCGAAGGCAGCUGGCUACACGAAUAUUGACACUGAGGCACGAAAGCGUGGGGAGUCAAACAGGAUUAGAUACCCUGGUAGUCCACGCCCUAAACUAUGGAUACUCGACAUACGCGAUACACUGUGUGUGUCUGAGCGAAAGCAUUAAGUAUCCUACCUGGGAAGUACGAUCGCAAGAUUGAAACUCAAAAAAUUAGACGG